rnacentral:rRNA from 1 species
AGCAGGUCAUAGUGAUCCGGUGGUUCUGUAUGGAAGGGCCAUCGCUCAACGGAUAAAAGGUACUCCGGGGAUAACAGGCUGAUACCGCCCAAGAGUUCAUAUCGACGGCGGUGUUUGGCACCUCGAUGUCGGCUCAUCACAUCCUGGGGCUGAAGUCGGUCCCAAGGGUAUGGCUGUUCGCCAUUUAAAGUGGUACGCGAGCUGGGUUUAGAACGUCGUGAGACAGUUCGGUCCCUAUCUGCCGUGGGCGUUGGAAGAUUGAAGGGGGCUGCUCCUAGUACGAGAGGACCGGAGUGGACGAACCUCUGGUGUUCGGGUUGUGUCGCCAGACGCAUUGCCCGGUAGCUAAGUUCGGAAUUGAUAAGCGCUGAAAGCAUCUAAGCGCGAAGCGAGCCCUGAGAUGAGUCUUCCCUGACAGUUUAACUGUCCUAAAGGGUUGUUCGAGACUAGAACGUUGAUAGGCAGGGUGUGUAAGCGUUGUGAGGCGUUGAGCUAACCUGUACUAAUUGCCCGUGAGGCUUAACCAUACAACACCCAAGGGGUUUUGUA